GAGAGAGAGAGAGAGAAGGAGAUAACAUUUUCUGGUCAAAGAAAGUGAGAACAUUUUUAAGAGGGAAAAUGGCAGUGGAGCUAUUUUCUUUAUAGGUAAGUUAAAAUCCGGCGCUUUUUGUUUUUUCAAAUUGGAGAAGUUGGUUCUUCACGAGGUUGUGUCAGAUUUUCCUUUCAAAAGAAUGGAAAAAAAAACCUAAUCUUUAUCCAUUUUUUUUAAGGUAUUGGUGCUGCUCCUUUCACUUCUCUGCUUGCAACCUAUAAAGAUUCUGAAGAUUUUGUAG
rnacentral:misc_RNA from 1 species